CCAAAGGCUCUUUUCAGAGCCACCCACUUGAGCAGAAAAGUAGCUG
rfam:Tupaia chinensis contig45519, whole genome shotgun sequence.